AGACGUUCAACUUCAUUUUCUGUCGAGUUCAAAACCAAGGCAUCAGCUGUGGUUACCGUGCAGUCGAUUAUGGGAAGAAUUUGUGCGGUCAGAAACUGCGGGAAGAUCUCUAGAAAAAGGAGUUGUCAUCGGCUUCCUCUCAACACACCUAAAAGUCAUAGAGUCAGAAAGUUGUGGCUUUCAUUCCUCGGGUUCGACAUAAACACCCCAGUAAAUGUACUUCGGGAAGCCGACCAUCGCGUUUGCGCCUUUCACUUUCGGCCUGAGGACUACCUGAAAUCAACAAGUCAUCGAAAGGAGUGUCCGAAGAGACUGCAUCUGAAAAGGGCAGCUGUACCGACGCUUUGUGGACCAACGCUAGACGAAGAAAACCUCGGGGCUGUUGGCGGUGUGGUGGACCAGCCUUCUACCUCCAGCAUAUCCUUGGUCCUCACCAGUCCACAGCCACGGCCUCACCAAUCCAAUAAAUCCCCAAGGAAGUCCUUAUCUGGCAGUUACCUUGCUUUCCCUGUGAUCAGGGAGAGGCUCUCACUAUCUCCAGAUGAUUGUGAAACUGAGAUACUUCAAAUGGACACAAGCAUUUCCUCAGUCAUUGAGGAUGACCCAAAGACAUGAGCUUCAGCCUCAGUCAACAGUCAAGUUCAAGUGAAACCUCCAGUUCAAGUGCCUCAGAAGAGCAAGGGAGUGGGAUGAAAGAAAAUGGAUUGUGAACGAGUCCAGCAUCAUGCAACUGUUUAGAACAUGCCAUAUAUGUGCCGCACAAAUCACGGAUAAAAAAGUGACAACUACAGGCAGCCAACUAAAGAUUGAAUGGACAUGUUUGAAUAAUCAUCAUGGCAAGUGGGCAUCAUGUCCUGAUGCAAGAGGAAUGGCACAGAAUAACCUGCUUGUUUCUGCUGCUAUGCUUUCUCUGGAACAACUUUCACUGAAGUACACGAGUGGGCCAGCAUCCUAAACUUGCAACUCUUGAAGAAAUCGCAGUACUACUCCAUCCAAUCCGACUACCUUAUUCCAGUAGUACACUUUGCAUACAAGGAUCAUCAUGAGAAUCUCAUUAGGCGACUCAUUAGACAAAAGGCUGAAGGCGAGUCCAUAGAGCUGUGUGGAGAUGCCAGGUCUGACUCACCAGGCUACAGCUGCAAGUAUUCCACCUAUUCGUUUCAGCUUCUAUCCAGUAAUGAGAUCAUUCACUUUCAACUACUACAGGUAACGGAAGCUAGCAGUUCAGUUGCCAUGGAGUCCCAAGGCUGUAGGAGGGCCUCAACCAUCUCAUUUUCAAUGAAGGAGUAGAUAUAGACCUCAUCACUACAGACCGGGCCACAUCAGUUCGGAAAAUAAUGAGGA
ensembl:lncRNA